rnacentral:rRNA from 1 species
UACAGAGGGGGCAAGCGUUGUUCGGAAUUACUGGGCGUAAAGGGCGCGUAGGCGGCCUGCUAAGUCGAACGUGAAAUCCCCGGGCUCAACCCGGGAACUGCGUCCGAUACUGGUGGGCUUGAAUCCGGGAGAGGGAUGUGGAAUUCCUGGUGUAGCGGUGAAAUGCGCAGAUAUCAGGAGGAACACCGGUGGCGAAGGCGGGUCUCUGGGCCGAUACUGACGCUGAGACGCGAAAGCGUGGGGAGCGAACAGG